GCAGUUUUACGAAGAAUGCAUUGAUUCUACAACAUGCUGUUGUGAAGCCAUCCAGGACUGCUCACUCGCUUAUUUAAGACAGGUAUAUUUUCCACUUGGGGAGUGAGAAAAAGCAUGGUGUUCACUCAUUGUGCUUUCGAUCUGACUUUUAUUUUUCUUAUUUUUAGAGAAAAUAAGAGAAAUAUCAUCCCUGAAGGAUGAAAUAUCCUCAAAUAUGAAAAGGUCUGCUCUCUGAAGACCAACUGUGUUAGUCUGUUUUUUGCUGCUGUAACAGAAUACCACAGACUUGGUAAUUUAUAAACAAUAGAAGUUGAUUUGGCUUAUGCUCCUGGAGGCUGGGAAGUCCCAGAUUAAGGGGCCGCAUCUGGCAAGGGCUUCUCGCUGCCUUAGAACAUGGCAGAAGGCAUCACGUGUGAGACAGUGAGACAGGGCCGGUUUCACUUUCACAGCAGACCCACUCCCAUGAUAAUUAAUCCAUUCAGCAGGGCAGAGCCUUCGGAACCCCAUCACCUCUUAAAGGCUCCGUCUCAGCAUGUUGUACUGGGGGUUAAAUUUAUAACACAUGAACUUUGGGGACGUGUUCAAACCAUAGCAAGGGCCCUGAGAAACACAUUUCCACUGACUUCAAAAUGGUUCAUAAAAAUGGAGUUCUGCGAGAGGAGCCGGGCAUUCCCAAGAAUGGUUAUGAAGAGGCCUCACUGUGCCAGGCACGGCCCUCAGGGCAGGCAGCUCUGUGUAGCCCCCCAUGGCAGCAGCUGGUCAGGCUGCCCAAACUCACCGCUUUGGGAUCACUUCAGCACCAGCCAGAUUCACUUGAACUCAAUUGUCUGCAGAUUUUAUCUCAUUUCUAUGUGCCCAGUAGGCGGAGAAGCCUUCAGAGAAGAACCCUGACUGGGUGGUUGGUGCAGAGCAGUGACAUUUGGCAGUGUUUGCUCGGCAAGCAAGUCUUUGAGGCUGCCCUCAUGCUGCUCAGUGGGCACACCAAGAACGAGAGCUGGCCAGGGAUGAUGGAUGCAUCUAGGCCUUCUCGGCUUAAGGGUUACGUUAGUGUUAAUAUUCACUCUGGAGGUGACUUGACCUGUCGUUGUGAACAGCUGUUGCUCUGGACGACCCAGGACACAGGCCAGCCGCUACCUACCCCAGUGUGUUGGAGAAUCACACUCAACUUCUUCCUCUGUGCUGAGUCAUUAAAGUUGCCGGAGCAGGUGCAGUUACAUAACCUCAGGCAACAUCACAUGAUUGCUUAA
rnacentral:lncRNA from 1 species